GACGAACGCUGGCGGCAUGCCUAACACAUGCAAGUCGAACGAGAUCUUCGGGUCUAGUGGCGCACGGGUGCGUAACGCGUGGGAACCUGCCCUUUGGUUCGGAAUAACAGUUGGAAACGACUGCUAAUACCGGAUGAUGACGAAAGUCCAAAGAUUUAUCGCCAGAGGAUGAGCCCGCGUAGGAUUAGCUAGUUGGUGUGGUAAAGGCGCACCAAGGCGACGAUCCUUAGCUGGUCUGAGAGGAUGAUCGGCCACACCGGGACUGAGACACGGCCCAGACUCCUACGGUAGGCAGCGGUGGGGAAUAUUGGACAAUGGGCCAAAGCCGUAUCCAGCAAUGCCGCGUGAGUGAUGAAGGCCUUAGGGUUGUAAAGCUCUUUUACCCGGGAUGAUAAUGACAGUACCGGGAGAAUAAGCUCCGGCUAACUCCGUGCCAGCCGCCGCAGUAACAC
rnacentral:rRNA from 1 species